CACUCCUGUUAGUUUUGGAUGCGCUCGGCUCCAACCAAUCAGACGCAACCUGUGUAAGCAAAGGAUGAUGGGAGAACGGAGAGACCCGUUUAUAAGAAUAAGAAAAGGAGGCGGAAUUGAUUGAUUCUAAUGCAGAUCAGCAUCAAUGUCCACGUGAAGAACCUAGUUAUGCUGCCAGUGUCAACCCAACAAAAGGCACUUUCACAAUAUAUAAAAGAAGUGUAUGGAACUGAGGUGCUUCCUCAGGUUGUUGGAGGAUGGAGAAGAGGACGCAGCCGUGACUUGUGAGAUGGCGUCUGAGUCAGCUACUACUCACUAGGAGAUCAGAAACAUGGUGUCCUUGCAAAAGUGGAAAGAGGCCAGGCCUUGUCUUAUAGACAAAAUGUUAUCUACUCUGGAUCCACAGUCACACCGUGUGUGUCAGUGUGGCAAACAAGUAGUUGUGAGGUGUCUGGACUGCCUGCCUCUUCCAUUCCUUUGUGCUGACUGUGAUAUUGCAGUUCACACACGCUAUGUCCUGCACAACCAAGAGGCAGUAACAGGAGGGUUUUUGCAGCCUUCAUCAGAGUUUCACAAGCCAAUAGUUCGGCUGUUGCCUGUGCAAAGGCCAGACCAUGUGUGUGACUGCCCAGCAGGUAACGUUGAGGUUUCACCCGGCGCAGUUGUGGCUCUUGUAACCAUAAAUGGCUGUUAUAACCUUGCACUGCCAGUGGUGAGCUGCACCAGCUGUGACUUAAUGUGGUCCCC